AGGUAGAACUGAGAGAUGGAAAGAGAAAAAAUUGGGAUGGGCGGUGUUUACAUCAUUACGUCUGAGUCUAGCACUGUAAAAAUGGAAGCAUGUGGAGGAGGAAAGCUUGGCACAGUGACUAAGACUGCAGCUUUGAAGUUAGUCUUCAAAGUCUGAAGUCUCAAUGGAGCAACGCUGUGUAUAUUUAUAAAAACCUCUCCUGCCUGGGAGAAUCCUUCUUCAAAAACAAGUAGCAGGGGACGAGCUAAUUUCCAGUGGGCAUGUUUACUAUGUUCUUCAUUUGGAAGGAGCGUCCGAUUCUAAAAAUAUGUUUGUUGGCAAUAAAUUCCCUUUAACCAGAAAAGUUACAGAAGAAGAUUAUCUUAAGUGCCUGCAGAGCAGAAAUGACAAGUCAGAAGAACUAUCCAUUAUGUUCACUGGUAAUUGGAUCCGAAGUGCUUACCUUAAAAAGAUUGUGCUCCAAUAAUGCAAUUAUUUUCCAAAAAAAAUCUUAAUAAAAAGCACAUUUCUUCUCUUCCUGCUUCUCAGAGGAAAACCACUUUAAAAAUCACAACCAAAGACAAAUGCAAAGCUUCAGAAUACUUGAGUUCUAGUUACACACUUGCUCUCUCAUUUUCUUAUGCUAAGAGAGUGUUGCUGGGACAAAAACAUUGCGCAGUGUGACACUAUAAAUCAUCUCCAAUAGUAAAUGCAGUGUCAGGUUCUCAUGCAUUUCAGACCCUUUGGAACUAACACUCCAUUAUUUCACACUAUGCUGAAUGAACAUUGAAAGUCUGUUGUGGCAAGUGGAUCGGCAGUCAAAUCAGCUCAUCUUUACUGAGUCAACUCCAAGUUGGUGCUAGAGGUUUGGCUUGCAGUUUCAGCCUCCAUUCACCAUACCUGUUUCUCCGAUGGCUGAAUUGAUGGGAUAUCUUUUAUCCUUCCACAGAAAGCUCAUUUCCCCCCCUCCAUACUCAAGCAUGUGAGAAUGGGCAGUAAAGAUUGUGCGUAUGGCCUUCACUGGUUCUAUUGACCAAGUAAU